GACGUAGGGCGCGAGCGUGUCCGGAUUUAUUGGGCGUAAAGAGCUCGUAGGCGGCUUGUCGCGUCGAAUGUGAAAUCUCAGGGCUCAACUCUGACAUUGCAUUCGAUACGGGCAGGCUAGAGUUCGGUAGGGGAGACUGGAAUUCCUGGUGUAGCGGUGAAAUGCGCAGAUAUCAGGAGGAACACCGGUGGCGAAGGCGGGUCUCUGGGCCGAUACUGACGCUGAGGAGCGAAAGCGUGGGGAGCGAACAGGAUAGAAACC
rnacentral:rRNA from 1 species